AAGUUUUUCCCCUAUGUUUUCUUCUAAGAGUUUUGUAAUUUUAUGUCUUGCAUUUAAGUCUUCUAUCCAUUUUUUAUUUUUGUAUAUGGUAUAAGGGUCAAACUCCAUUUUUUGCAUGUAGUUUUACUGACACCAUUUGUUGAAGAGACUGCUUUUUAAGGCAUGUUUGUUUAAGUUUUAAAAACCCUCUCAGAAUUUGACUUUCUAACUUGUCAGAUGCAUGGUUUCAUUCAGCCCCCUGCUGGUUUCUUGGCUCACCUUGGCUUCCAUGCACAGGGCUGUCAUUACUGGGGACCAACGCAUGAGAGGCACUGCUGAGAGGACCAAAGCACAGAACUGGUGCCUUCGUGUAUCUGUAGCAGGAAUUGCAUGGUGCCUGGAAAAUAGAAGAGGAAAUCUUCUUCAGAAGAGGGAAUAUCUUCAGUCCUUCAUGGUCACUGCUUAAGUCCUUAGUGACUAUCUCCAAGGUGUCCUUUGAAGGCAGGUGGCACUGCAGAUUCCAAACUUCGACACUGUGAUGGUUGCUACUACUGGAAGGUCUCAAUGCAUGGAGUCCAGCAUGUUUUACAUCCCGUGCAACCAUUCCUCUGACGUCCUGCUAGAGAAUGAACUCGCAUUCCAACUAUUCUGAGCCUGCUGACCAGCUUCUGUCCAACAUGGGGGACUUUUUCCUUUCCAGAACUCAGAUUUGAGAGGGGAAAGGGUAGAACAAGUUGUUUGCAAAUAACAUGCUUUCUGCACUACAACACACAUCUUCCGUGAAUGCAAAGAUCUAACUUAGGAAACUAGGUGAACAAAUGCAGAUCAUUGCAAAGUGUAAGUCUUUCAACUUACCGAGACAGCUAUUUCCCCAUUUGUAAUAAUUUGUAAUGUUGUGAGGAUUGGUUUAUGAUGAGGGUGUAGCACAGUGAAUAAUAGUAUAUAAUACUGACAAUAGGCUUGUUUUAGCCGCCAAAUUAACAUUCUUCUGUGACCAACACAUGAUCCUUUCGAGGGAAUGCCUCUUCCCCAACUGUUCAAGCCAAAUGAAUCCAAAAAGAGCUGCCACCUUAUGAGAGCCACUUGCCUAGCCACAAUGAUGGGUUGGCUAAAGGAUGGCUAGUGAUUCACUUCCAUGGCCAUAGGACAGAUUGGCCAUGGCUCUAGCCAGAAGUACAGAAUUAUAAACUAUUAAGUACCAUGAAGAAAAAGGACAGAGGAAUCGGACUUUGUCUAAGCAGCUGAGUCUUGUUGGAAAAGUCAUUUUUCCAUUUUGGGCCUAAGGUUUUCCCUUCUGUAAAAUGAGAGGACCCUGGGAGGCUCCAAAAGGGUCACAUCUGGAUUUUGGCAGGCUCCUCUCACCAGUUGCUUCAUUUAGAGUACUUGUUAGCACUUUAGAAGGUGCAGAGAGUGCAGAGUUCAGCUGGAGCUGCUGUACAUACCAAAACACACCUUGCUAGUUUGGUUCCCUAUUUACGUGCCUCUUUGCCAGUUACAUAGCAAAGUAAAGGAAAUUGGAAUCAACUGCUAGUGAGCACUAGCGAAAUUUGAAGGCUGCUAUAAGCUCGUGAUUCUGAAAUCCAAGGUUUUUGAAUUUGUUGGCAAACUCAAUUGUCAGCAGCAGCUGACCUGAAAUGUGUGUGAAUAUGAAUACAUUUUAUGGUGGACAGGUGUUUUUAACCAUAGGUUCUAGACCUGGAUAUGGAUAUUCUUUAAAACAUAGUACCUCUCUAAAAUCUGAACAAUUCUGGCCACAAGAAUUUUGGAUAAGGGACUGUAGACCUGUAUACUACUACUGCUGGAUCUUUAUCUAGUGCUCUGUAGAGAGAUUUCUUAUGUGAUUUUUUUUCUUAAUGUGUGAUUUUUAAAUCCCAACACAACCCUGUGAUACUGACUUAGUUUUAUCUUUUUACAGAUGGGCAGUUCAGGUGUUUAUACUAUGUUCCUAAAUGCAAAUGCCUACUAUAAACACUGGAGGACAAAGGCAGACAGUGACAUAGAGAGGUUAUUAUGCUAUCAGAGAGAAAACUAUACAAAACCAUGCCCUUAUCUACUUCUUUCCACCAAAUGCUUAAAGUACUUUCCUGAUAAAAGUGUUACAGCUUUGUGUACUUCUGAUGUGAAAUGGCUGGCAUUUCCGUCUAAGAGUUAACAAGAACAUUCUAUCCAAGCAUCCCAACUGAUUAAGAAAAUCGAUGCUACUCAAGAAGAAUAAAUUAAUUAAA